rnacentral:lncRNA from 1 species
GUGCAUUGUCGUCGUCGCUGGUUGCUCCGUUCCGUUUUCGCAGUCGUCGCGACGCUUUCGCGGGCUUUUCGAAAUCCGUCAAAGUGGGUUCGUUUCUCGUCCCGCGUGUGUGGUAGUGUUGGUGGUUGUGGUGGUUUAUCAGUGCCGCGAUUUCGGCGGUUUUUCUGCGGAUUACUGAUUUUUUUGGCGUGUGUUACGUUUGUGAGUGUGCGUGGAGCUACUUGGAUCGACCCGCUUUUGAAUAGCAUGGGAUCACGCAACGAAGCCACGACCACAGAUGCAAUCCCUUCGUGACCUCACCCGGACGAUACCUCAAACCGCGGCGACGAUGUCGGUCGUGCGCCCGGGUGUCGCAUCGCCAAAACUCCAGCAGGGAGCGACGCCGGUGCCUCCGUCAACCGCCGGUGGCGCCACCUCGCGGUGACACUCGCAGUGAAAGUGUUCCCCGGGGAAAACGCCAUGAGCCAUCAAGCCCGGGAGCACCCAACCUCCACCGCCUAGGAUCGCGACGGAACCUCCAUCACUCAGCCAUCCGGCCCCAGGGACCAAAAAUCGGCCAUUCGGCUCGAGAGACCAACAUUCAGCCAUCCGGCUAGAGGGACCAACAUUCAGCCACCCAGCUCGAAGGAUUAACAUUCAUCCACACGGCUAGAGGAACCAACACUCAGCUAUUCGGUUCGAGGAACCAACACUCAGCCAUUCUAUUCUCGGGGCCAACAUUAAGUCAUCCGGUUCAAGGGACCAAAAACUUCCUCGAAAAGCGUCAUCUUUCGGGAUCGUUGAGUCGCCACUAACUCUAAGUGUCUCUAGAGGAGAGUGUCCUAAGAAGAAUCGAUUCAAUCAGCUGAUUAAUCAAACGAUAAUUUCCAUCCGGCUAGAUGCGAGCAAAAGUUAGGAAAAAGCAAGCUACGAACACUCAUUUGCAGCUGUGUCGUGCGGUUUAGUUAAUCGAAUUACUUGAAUGUUACCAAAUAACUAGGCGGAAAUACUGCCAACUUAAAUUUUAGAAUUAAAACGGUUUUAGAAAUAAAUUCCGUGAGUCUGUGAUACGAAACGACGUGGAUAGCUUCCGUCGUCGCACAGAUUUUAAGUCACCGAGUACCUGAUUACGUUGCGUUAGUUUGCGUGACGGUAGUUUACGUUAGUUUUAAGUUCGGACGAUAACGUAUGCGCGCGGAAAGAAGCACGAGGGAAGAAGAGAGGUAAAGCAGCACUUGGUCCAACAAAAUAAAUAAUGUUAAAUACGAGCAGAGCCUUGUUUAA